rnacentral:lncRNA from 1 species
AGGAUCAGCAUGACUGUAGUGUUCCUGGCUUAACCCUGAGAGGUUGCUGUUCCCAGUGACUAUCUAGGCUGAAGCCCAUGUAGGAUUUGAAGAGACUGAUCCAGGCUUUAUGAGUGGCUGCGACCAUGCUGAUGCUGUAUCAUGUCUCAGACGACUGGAUUCCUAAAAACUCCCCAAAUGAAGCAGGUCCAAUUAGUAUGGUGUCACCAAUAUAUGGAUCCAUGCGAUUGAUUAUCUGUGGAGUGUCCGGAUGGUCCAGGACCCUUCAGAUUAUAUUACGAUGGAGAACAGGAAAAUUAACCAAAACCUGGGCAAGACUGCGAAUGUGUGCUACUAUCCAUCCCAGUUCUGGAGGCCGGAGUUGGAAAUCAGUUUCACUGGGCACACAUGGAGGUGUUUGAAGGGCUGCCCGUGCCAGAGGCUCUCAGGGAGAAUCCCUUCCUUGUCUGUUCCAGCUCUACCUCCUCCUCUGCUGUAUACAAAGACAAAGAAACAGGCAAAGAAACAUCUCUGACAUCAAGAUCAGGAAGUCACAGAGAGUACUUGAGUACACAUUCAGAAGUUUCAAGGAUUUUCUGUUCGUUUAUUAAACCUUAACAUUUGCUGUACAAGUUUUCAACAGGCCAAGGUUAAGUGAAGAAUGAAAAUAAUGUUUAACUCCAUUACAAAAGAGGAGGCUUUUGAUACAGACUUCAUAAUGUUCUUUGAGGAAGCAGGUAUAUGAGGUUUGUACAUUGAAUGGAUGUUCUAGAUUGAGCAAAAUACCCUCUAUGCACUCUCCUGCAGAGAGUGUGGGUGAAAUAGAAAUGUAUUUCUGGAUAGAAAGAGCAAUGUAUCACAUGCAUUCUGAAGAAGUCUAGCUGAGCAAAACCUUAAGAUUUCCUGUUGUUGCUGGACCGUAGACAUCAAUAUGACCGCUUAGCAUAAAGAUAAAGGUACCUCAGGGCCCAAGAAUAAAAAUUCCAUCGAGCACAACUCAGCGCUCUGAAAAUCUAGAUUUCCCUAAUCCCAGAGGGUGAGAGCCAAGGAGGAGCUCGUCCUGCCCAUUCCUGCCUUCCUCUAUCCCUGGCACUCACACCACAAGUUUGCUCUACUCUUAAACAAAAGCACCUGUGUUUUAAAAUUUUCAUUUUAAGUUCUGGGGUACAUGUGUAGGACAUGCAGGUUUGUUACAUAGGUAAACUUGUGCCAUGGUGGUUUGCUGCACCCAUCAACCCAUCACCUAGGUAUUAAACCGCACAUGCAUUAGCCAUUUGUCCUAAUGCUCUCCCUCCUGCCAACCCCCCACCCCCGACAGGUCCCAGUGUGUGUUGUUCCCCUCCCUGUGUCCAUGUGUUCUUACUGUUCAGCUCCCACUUAUGAGUGAGAACAUGCAGUGUUUGGUUUUCUGUUCCUGUGUUAGUUUGCUGAGGGUGAUGCCUUCCAGCUCCAUCCAUGUUCCUGCAAAGGACAUGAUCUCAUUCUUUUUUAUGGCUGCAUAGUAUUCCAUGGUAUAUAUGCAUCACAUUUUCUUUAUUCAUUCUAUCAUUGAUGGGCAUUUGGGUUGGUUCCAUGUCUUUGCUAUAGUGAAGAGUGCUACAAUGAACAUACACCUAUUUUUUUUUAACCCACAUUAUUUAUAGUCUUGUUUUCAGUAUUUUGGUAGGCAGUGCCUGGUCUGCUCCUCUCCUCCCUUCUCUGAGUUGCCCUUUUCCUCAAUUCUCUUUUACCAACUUUCCUUUUGCGAUCGUCUCUACUCUCCUUUUCUCUAUACUUCCCCUUCUUUUUCUCUUGGCCUCGACUUCUGAAUCCUGUGACAAUGGCGUGGGGGGUUUGGUGGAGAGAGGGGAACUAAAAGUGGAAAUGAGACACUGGGGAAUAAUCACAAGAAAGGAAACAAGACUUCCCAACUCUCCCCGGCUGUGAGCCCCACGACAUGGUUUCCACAUGAGCCUUCUCCCCACUUUUGGCUGCCUCCCUGACACGUUUCCAAGGAGACCUUUCCAAGUCAAGGCCGCAGCUCCCAAAGUAUUGAAGCACAAACCCAGCCCACUUCCAAUAAAUCAUCCUCUACAUACAGUUGUCUGGUUUGUAUCAGAAUGUCCUUGGGAUUCCUGUAAUGCUUGUCUCCAGAGUCACUUAGCCAGCAUUUUGGCUAGUUUUUGUUUUUGUUUUUUUUUUUCUGAUACUCUGGUUGCAUAAAGUUAAACAGGGUUUGCAAAAUGUAAUUUCAUUAUAUGAACAACAAGUUCUAUACACUGAUGAAUAACUUGGUUUUAUGUGGGCACUUAAUUCCCAGUCUAGUGCUAAGUCUUUAUCUUAAUUUUAACUUUUAAGGCAAACAAUGCAAGGCAUCAUCUUUUGAGUGGGAAAGAGGAAAAGCAUUUUAAUGAAUGAGUUCUUGGUUGGGCGCAGUGGCUCACUCCUGUAAUCCCAGCACUUUUGGAGACUGAGGCAGGAGGAUCGCUUGAGCUCGGGAGUUCAAGACCAGCCUGGGAAACAUGGUGAAACCCCGCCUCUACACAAAAAUUAAAAAAUUAGCCGGGGAGGGGGAUUGAUUGUGUGCAUUUGCAGCUGAGCUGCAGUGAGUCCCAGCUACUCGGGAGGCUGAGGGGGGAAGAUUGUUUGAGCCUAGGAGGGUGAGGCUGCAGUGACUUAUGAUCCUGCCACUGCACUCCAGCCUGGGCAAUAGAGUGAGACUCUCCAAAAAAAGAAAAAUAGAAUGAAUAAUGAAUGAGUUCUUGAAAGGAGAGAUGUAGCUGGGCACAGUGGCUCACAUGCUUGUAAUCCCAGCACUUUGGGAGGAUAAAGCAUGUGCAUCACCUGAGGUCAGGCAUGGUGGCGGGUGCCUGUAAUCCCAGCUACUUGGGAGGCUGAGGCAGGAGAAUUGCUUGAACCCAGGAGGCUGAGGUUGCAGUGAGCCGAGAUCACACCACUGCACUCCGGCCUGGGUUACAAGAGUGAAACUCUGCCAAAAAGAAAGAAAGAAAGAGAGAGACAGAGACAGAGAGAGAGAGAAAAGAAGGAAGGAAGGAAGGAAGGAAGGAAGGAAGGAAGGUAGGAAGGAAGGGAGAGAGAGAGAGAAAGAAAGAAAGGAGAGAUGUGAAAAAUAUGUUUAAGAAUUUCUCAUACAUUCAUGUCUGAAAGGAAUCAUUUUAUUCAUCCCUCUUUCAUGGAUGAAGACAUUGAGGCCCAGGUGUGGUAAAAUUUGCCCGAAGUAGCCCGUGAGUCCGUGAGAUGUCCUGCUCCCAUCUGGAGAGGAGGAGACACGCACAGCCGUCUCCACCACAAGCCGGAUUCCAGACACUGAUCCUGCCACCACCACCCCAGUCUUCUGUCUGUCCCUCUCAGCAUGGCAGUCAUGUACCCUGGCACAAUUUCUGUGAAAAUCCCCUAAACCAAGCUUGUCUAACCUGUGACCCACAGGCCGCAUGCAGCCCAGGAUGGCUUUGAAUGCAGCUGAACACACAUUUGUAAACUUUCCUAAAACAUGAAUUUUUUCGCAUUUA